GACGAACGCUGGCGGCGUGCCUAAUACAUGCAAGUCGAACGCAGUGGGGACGGGUGCGUAACACGUGGGUAACCUCCCAUCAGAGGGGAUAACACUUGGAAACAGGUGCUAAACCGAUACUGAUGGAUGGACACGCGGGGCAGUAGCUAGUUGGUGAGGUAACGGCUCACCAAGGCCACGAAGCACAGCCGACCUGAGAGGGUGAUCGGCCAUCCUGGGACUGAGACACGGCCCAGACUCCUCCGGGAGGCAGCAGUAGGGAAUCUUCGGCAAUGGACGCAAGUCUUACCGAGCAACGCCGCGUGAGUGAAGAAGGUUUUCGGAUCGUAAAACUCUGUUGUUAGAGAAGCGGUAUCUAACCAGAAAGCCACGGCCAACUACGUGCCAGCCGCCGCGGUAAUUC
rnacentral:rRNA from 1 species